rnacentral:rRNA from 1 species
UGGGGAAUAUUACACAAUGGAGGAAACUCUGAUGUAGCAACGCCGCGUGGAGGAUGACACAUUUCGGUGCGUAAACUCCUUUUAUAUGGGAAGAUAAUGACGGUACCAUAUGAAUAAGCACCGGCUAACUCCGUGCCAGCAGCCGCGGUAAUACGGAGGGUGCAAGCGUUACUCGGAAUCACUGGGCGUAAAGCGCGCGCAGGCGGUCUUUUAAGUUGGAUGUGAAAUCCUAUGGCUCAACCAUAGAACUGCAUCCAAAACUGAAAGACUAGAGUCUGGGAGGGGAAGAUGGAAUUAGUGGUGUAGGGGUAAAAUCCAUAGAGAUCACUAGGAAUACUAAAAGCGAAGGCGAUCUCCUGGAACAGUACUGACGCUGAGGCGCGAAAGCGUGGGGAGCAAACAG